rnacentral:rRNA from 1 species
UUAGCUUGCUAAGUUUGAUGGCGACCGGCGCACGGGUGAGUAACACGUAUCCAACCUGCCGAUGACUCGGGGAUAGCCUUUCGAAAGAAAGAUUAAUACCUGAUGGUAUGAUGGGAUUGCAUGAUAGCAUCAUUAAAGAUUCAUCGGUGUACGAUGGGGAUGCGUUCCAUUAGAUAGUAGGCGGGGUAACGGCCCACCUAGUCAACGAUGGAUAGGGGUUCUGAGAGGGUGAACGGCCACAUUGGGACUGAGACACGGUCCAAACUCC